UUGACCUCGGAUCAGGCUGGAUACCCCGCUGAACUAAGCAUAUCAAUAAGCGGAUGAAAAGACACCAACAGGGAUUGCCUCAGUAACGGCGAGUGAAGCGGCAACAGCUCAAAUAUGAACUCUGGCUCUUUCAGGGUCCGAGGUUGUAAUCUGUAGACGAUGCUUCGGCGUGGGCUCCGGUCUAAGUCCCUGGGACCAGGACGUCAUAGAGGGGUGAGCAUCCCGUAUGUGAUCGGCUGCCUUUGCCAUGUGAAGCUUCUUCGACGAGUCGAGUUGUUUGGGACUGCAGCUCUAAAUGGGACGUAAAAAUG
rnacentral:rRNA from 1 species